CAUCAUUCCUUUGCUCUUCCCAUCUCUGAUUAUCACAAGUCUUUCUUGCAGUCAUGCGUCUUUUGCUGCUGACUUCGCUGCUGGCGUUGCUGGAAUGGGGACAGGUACGGGGUGAGGAUUACUGCUUUAAAACGGACACCAACCGUUCGCAGACACUCGAAUUUAGUUCAAAGAGCGUCUAUAAUCUUGUCAGGGGCGACGAUGCCGAGAAAUUCAAAGUACCCGGGUGCAAGGCCACGAAGAUGUGGAUAUACCACAGACAUGGCACACGCUUGAUGGAAAAAGACGAUAUCGAGAAGUCCAAACGCCUCGGCGAGCUACGCGAUUUGAUUAAGAGAAACUAUGAUCAAAUGCAAACUAGCCCUGACACGAAUACCUUGUGUGAUGCAGCUCUUAAUGAACUUCAGAAAUAGAGAUGGAACUCAAGCAUUACCGUCGAUCUCGAUGAGCAUCUUACCGAGCAGGGCUACGAAGAUUUGCGCAGUUCUGCUAAACGCUAUCAGUCCUAUUAUCCAGAGUUGUUGCCCAGAACAUACAACAGUACUUAUUAUCGGUUCGGUCAUACUGAUACUCAGCGCACUCACGAGAGUUUUAAGGCUUUUGCUGAUGGUUUAUUUGAUAAUAGCAUUGAAGUUUCGUCAAAAAUUUCGAACAGACUGCUUCGUGCAUACGAUAAUUGCGAAGACUACUUCGACAAAAACUACAUAGGUGAUGGUUCCGAGUUCAAGAAGUUUAUCACAAAGAUAUGAUUGCAAAUAUUGCCAAGCGCUUGGGCUUCUCUAAGCUAUCCAUACCUGAUAUUCUUCUUAUGUACAAAAUGUGCCGAUUUGAGCUGGCUUGGAAACCGAAAGAAAAC